CGAAAUCCGGAUAUAUAUAUAUAUGUACCUCGGUCGGAGAGGCGCGUAGGGUAUCUCCUGAGGUAUGGACAGAGUUCACGUCACGCCGAACCACCUCGUGAUGAUGAACUCCACUAACGCCAAGGAAUGGCUGUGUUUUUCAAACUAAAAAUAUGUUUUACGAGUAUACAAAAUUUUAACAGCCUUGGCGGGCUCGAGUGUAUGCCUCUGAUCAAGG
rnacentral:lncRNA from 1 species